UAAAAAUUUGAUUCUAAUUUAUAAGUUUAUUUUAAAUUUUAUUACACAUGUAAAUUUUUGUGUGAAUUUAUAUAAUUUUAAAAAUUAAUAUAAGUUAAUUUUUAAUCGCAGUGUUUAAAUUUAUAAAUUAUAGAAAUAUAGAUUUAGAAAUAUUUUAUAUUAUUAGCAAAAAUUGUGCCAGCAGCUGCGGUUAUACAAUUAAUAAAAAUAAAUUUUAUUAGUUAAUAGUUAAAUAUUUAAAUAAUAAAAUUAAAUAUAUAAUUUUAAGGUGAAAUUUAUUUUAUGUAAAAGUUUUAUAUUAAAUAUUGAAGCUAUAAAAAUUAAAAUAUAAACUAGGAUUAGAUACCCUAUUAUUUUAAUUAAAAAUUAUUUACUAAAGUAGUAAUAGAUAUAAUCUUGAAACUUAAAGAAUUUGGCGGUAUUUUAAUCUUUUCAGAGGAACCUGUUCUGUAAUCGAUAAUCCACGUUUAAUUUUACUAAAUUUUUUUAUUUGUAUAUCGUUGUCGAAAGAAUAUUUUUAUAAAAAUUAAAUUUUCUAAAAUUAAUAUUUUAAUAGAUGUCAAAUCAAGGUGCAGUUAAUGAUUUAGUAGAAAUGGGUUACAAUAAAAAUAUUUAUAUGAAUUUUUAAUUGAAAAAUUAAAAUGAAGGUGGAUUUGAAAGUAAGUUAAUUUUAAUAAAAUUAAUUGAUUUUAGUUCUAAAAUAUGUACAUAUUGCCCGUCGCUCUUUUUUUAAAAAAAGAUAAGUCGUAACACAGUAGAUGUACUGGAAAGUGUAUCUAGAAAGAC
rnacentral:rRNA from 1 species